AGAUUGAACGCUGGCGGCAUGCCUUACACAUGCAAGUCGAACGGUAACAGGUCUUCGGACGCUGACGAGUGGCGAACGGGUGAGUAAUACAUCGGAACGUGCCCAGUCGUGGGGGAUAACUACUCGAAAGAGUAGCUAAUCCCGCAUACGAUCUGAGGAUGAAAGCGGGGGACCUUCGGGCCUCGCGCGAUUGGAGCGGCCGAUGGCAGAUUAGGUAGUUGGUGGGAUAAAAGCUUACCAAGCCGACGAUCUGUAGCUGGUCUGAGAGGACGACCAGCCACACUGGGACUGAGACACGGCCCAGACUCCUACGGGAGGCAGCAGUGGGGAAUUUUGGACAAUGGGCGAAAGCCUGAUCCAGCAAUGCCGCGUGCAGGAUGAAGGCCUUCGGGUUGUAAACUGCUUUUGUACGGAACGAAAAAGCUUCUCCUAAUACGAGAGGCCCAUGACGGCACCGUAAGAAUAAGCACCGGCUAACUACGUGCCAGCAGCCGCGGUAAUACGUAGGGUGCGAGCGUUAAUCGGAAUUACUGGGCGUAAAGCGUGCGCAGGCGGUUAUGUAAGACAGAUGUGAAAUCCCCGGGCUCAACCUGGGAACUGCAUUUGUGACUGCAUGGCUAGAGUACGGUAGAGGGGGAUGGAAUUCCGCGUGUAGCAGUGAAAUGCGUAGAUAUGCGGAGGAACACCGAUGGCGAAGGCAAUCCCCUGGACCUGUACUGACGCUCAUGCACGAAAGCGUGGGGAGCAAACAG
rnacentral:rRNA from 1 species